GAACUGAAGAGUUUGAUCAUGGCUCAGAUUGAACGCUGGCGGCAGGCCUAACACAUGCAAGUCGAGCGGCAGCACGGGUACUUGUACCUGGUGGCGAGCGGCGGACGGGUGAGUAAUGCCUAGGAAUCUGCCUGGUAGUGGGGGAUAACGCUCGGAAACGGACGCUAAUACCGCAUACGUCCUACGGGAGAAAGCAGGG
rnacentral:rRNA from 1 species